AACCCAGCAGCCCCACCCUGCCGCUUGCCCGCAGGCCGCACAGUGAGCCCAGACAGGCCACAUGUUGUGCAGGCCUGAUCAAUAGAGCAUCCAUUUGGGAGCUGAAAUUAUUUUUAAUUCUAUUAUGAUUUCCAAUAGCUGAUGCUGUUUCACCCUAUAGACUUCUUCAUGUUUUUGCAAAGGGCUGUUAUAUAUGUGAUUUAUAAUGUUGUUGUAACCAGAACUAGAGUGUUUAUCAUAAAAAAUACUUAGCCCUUACAUAGUCAAUAGUAUUAGUUAUGCUGGUAGCAUAUCCAUCUACAGACACCAGAGAUAUAGUUGUGGUAAAAUUAUCAUUGCUGGGUACCCUAGUGGAAGAAGUAAAUGACUGCAUGUCUGGUGAAAGCUUGUAUAAAAUCUGUCUCCAGCCUUUCGUACUAAAUGGAGUCAGGCAAUCUAUAUUGAUCUUGCUUUUUUUCAUUCUUUGAAAUUGGAUUUUGCUUCAGGGAAGGACAAGCACAUUUGUAUACUGGAACACUUGUGACAAUUUUAUCCGUAUAUAAAACAGUUCCAUUAACUUUUCCUGUUAACAGCUAAAAACUGCAUUGCAAGGUGAAGAGAGAGUAAUAAGAAAGAACAAGCUCCAUUGUUAAAUAAUAAACUACAGUUUUGUAUAUACAGAACAAAUCCUAUCCCGACUUGUCAGAAUUUUUCACUGUAGCUCUUGUAGUUACAGUACUUCGUAACAAUUCGCCAUGAAAAGCAUUUGGCAAAUCCCAGAAGCCUCAAGCUGCCUCUCUCCAUGAUCAGUUAUUUCUGUUUCUGACUAAAUAUCUCACAAGGUUAGUUUUCUUAAUAAUAAUAAUUUUUAAAAAAGGCUGAAAUUACACAGAUGAAAAAAGGAGCUGAAUGGUGGCUAUCUGUCUGCUUCAGCAUUCCUUCCUUAUCAUGUAUUUCAUGUAUACCAUAUGUGGUGAUGCUGUGAGUAAGGUCAGUUUAAAGUAGGAGAGUUUGCAGAGCCAUUUGGCAUCUGGUUUAUGCAAAAGUAGUAAAUCUUGCCACUCUACAUUAUGGUGCAUGAAACGUUUCUGUAACAAUUUCAUUAUGUAAAUUUGUAAUGAAUGUUAACUACAUCAUUAUAGCAUCACAGGAUACUGUAGUUCUGGUUGAAGAGGCACUUUUAGUAUAAGCCUUUAUUUUCAAGUACUUACAAUUUUUUUUCAAAAAGCAAUACUUUAGGGCAGCGGUAGGCCACCUAAAGCAUGGGUGCCGAAGGCGGCACACGAGCUGAUUUUCAGUGGCACUCACACUUCCUGGGUCCUGGCCACUGGUCCGGGGGGCUCUGCAUUUUAUUUUAGUUUUAAAUUAAGUUUCUUAAACAUUUUAAGAACCUUGUUUACUUUACAUACAGCAAUAGUUUAGUUAUUAUAGACUUAUAGAAAGAGACCUUCUAAAAAUGUUAAAUGUAUUACUGGCACGCAAAACCUUAAAUCGGAGAAUAAAUGAAGACUCGGCACACCACUUCUGAAAGAUUGCCAACCCCUGCUUUAGGAGCUUCAGUUCACUGUUUGUCUGUCUGUCUUCCUCCCUCCCCCAGUUUACUUUGUAUGGUCACCCAUACCAACAAGUUUCUUACAAAUAAAUGUAAUUCCAUAGUCAAGAUUGUUUGUAACCUUUCCUGAUGUCUAACUGUUUGUUUAUUUAAAGGAACACAAUGAAGUAAUUUGGUCCCUAAAUUUUACCCGACUUUGGGGUUCUAGAUAUCUGUGGUUUUGUUUAUUUUUUAAACCUAUACUUGCUGAAAAGUUACCUAAAUGACACAAAAUACCUACUGUUUGACCAAUUGGUGCUAAUGCAAAGUUAGACGAGAAAGUGCAAGGUAACAAUAACGGAUUCUGUUUCCAGAGCUUAGAUGACAUCAUUCCUAGGUAUUAUGAAUAAACAAAAUGAACCAUGUUGGCUUGUGUUCUCUAUGGAAAAAUAAAAUGUGUUUUGGGAGAAGAAAUCAGUACUCUUGAUUGAUAUAAAAUUCAAAUUCAAGUGUUAUCUUUCAAAUUGGAUAUUUAACAGGAAUUUAUAAGUAAAACACUUAGUUGAAGGCCUAACAAGCAAAAAUAUAUACACAAACUACAGAGGAACCUCAGAGUUAUGAACAACAGACUUAUGAACUGACCAGUCAACCACACACCUCAUUUGGAACGAGAAGUAUUCAAACAGGCAGCAGCAGAGACAAAAAAAAAAAAAAGCACAAAUAAAGUACAGUACUGUUAAAAAAA